ACACUUGAUACAGUAGAAGGGACACAGAUAUUGAGCUUGAUGCCUUAGGGUCCCUUUCCAUAGUACUGGGUUGCCCUUUAACCCUGACCGGUUGCCUCUUUGUAUUUCUGCGAGACAGUGAUGCCCAUAGAGACGCUUGUAUUGGCCUGAUGUCUGUGCAUGUCCCGCGCCUCUUUGCCAGAGGGAAUAAGCCUGAUUCUGACAGCCCUACUUCAUAAUUCAUAGCAGGGAACGUAACCAGUUACGUAGUUACUACAGGGAGGCUUACUGCAGCCGCUUCCUUCCCUCUGUCGUUUGGCAAAUGGUGUUCGGCAGUUGUCUCAUUUGUUCAGUCACAGACACCGACCCGUGAGCACCAUCAGGAGAGAUCAGCUUAUCCCAUGUGGCCCCAAUAACAAGGAUAAAGAGAGUGAAUGUGCCUCCUCCAGCUGCCGUCACAGCGGAGGAUUCCUUUCCUGAAUCCUCGCCUUCUCCUGCAGCAGCGGGCAGCCUCCAGACUCAUGGACCUGUUGGAUGGAAUGCUGUGGGGGCUGCCGCUGGACAUGCUGCUGCUGUCCGGACUCUCUACCUUGGGCACAGCACUGAGUAGGAGACAAGAUGCUGUUUCCAAUCUUUAUAUCCUGAAUCCUAACUGGCUGGGAGGAUUCAGCAGCGGGCACUGCCAGCCCCGGGCACACUCAGUUGGGCACAGUGAUGGGGAGCAAGUAGCAUGCACGCCUCAAUGAUCCGGCUCUCCCAGUACCUGUUGCUGCUUGGAAUAGGGGAAGUGCUGCAGACUCACUGUCACUAGAAUAGCCAGGGAGGAGAAAUCAAGCACUGCAGGAUGGAUGGUCGCCUUUUUUGAAGAGGAGCGGAAGUGGAGUUUCGGAGCCGUAAAGACAGCUUGAAAAGUGAGAGUUCUGCAGCCAUUAUUCCUCAUGAAUUAGUCCGCACACGGCAGCUUGAGAGUGUGCACCUCAAGUUCAACCAGGAGUCUGGAGCACUCAUUCCACUUUGUUUGAAAGGUAGGCUGUUGCAUGGAAGGCACUUUACAUAUAAAAGCAUUACUGGAGAUACAGCAAUCACAUUUGUGUCUACUGGAGUAGAAGGAGCCUUUGCUACAGAGGAGCACCCAUAUGCAGCGCAUGGACCGUGGCUACAGAUUCUGUUGACAGAGGAGUUAGUUGAAAAAAUGCUGGAAGAUUUAGAAGAUUUAAGCUCUCUAGAGGAAAUGAAACUACCGAAGGAAUACAGCUGGCCAGAAAAAAAGCUGAAGAUCUCCAUUCUACCCAACACAGUAUUUGAUAACCCACUCAAUUAAAGGUGGAGUAGCGCUGACAUUUCUGUUAGAUACAGGGACAUCACAGUGGACUUUCCCCCCACUUUCAGCAGCUCCAUCACUGCUGUAAACAAAGCCAAAGGAAAGCAAUUACUGCACAAUCUCCGCAUCUAGAGACGACUGGAAUGUACGUGACAUUUCAGCCCCAUUUUAUAUUUUUAGCAUCCAGUGUCAAGGGUGUUUGGCUUCUGUUUACUACUGUGAGAGUCUUUUCAUUCAGACUCCCUCUGACAAGCAGGGCUUUCUGUCUAAUAUGACAAGGCAUAGUCUGGGCCUGAUCAUAAAUGUCUCGUAUU